rnacentral:rRNA from 1 species
AUACAUGCAGUCGAGCGGACAGAAGGGAGCUUGCUCCCGGAUGUUAGCGGCGGACGGGUGAGUAACACGUGGGUAACCUGCCUGUAAGACUGGGAUAACUCCGGGAAACCGGAGCUAAUACCGGAUAUUCCUUGAACCGCAUGGUUCAAGGAUGAAAGACGGUUUCGGCUGUCACUUACAGAUGGACCCGCGGCGCAUUAGCUAGUUGGUGGGGUAAUGGCUCACCAAGGCGACGAUGCGUAGCCGACCUGAGAGGUGAUCGGCCACACUGGGACUGAGACACGGCCCAGACUCCUACGGGAGGCAGCAGUAGGGAAUCUUCCGCAAUGGACGAAAGUCUGACGGAGCAACGCCGCGUGAGUGAUGAAGGUUUUCGGAUCGAAAGCUCUGUUGUUAGGGAAGAACAAGUGCGAGAGUAACUGCUCGCACCUUGACGGUACCUAACCAGAAAGCCACGGCUAACUACGUGCCAGCAGCCGCGGUAAUACGUAGGUGGCAAGCGUUGUCCGAAUUAUUGGGCGUAAAGGGCUCGCAGGCGGUUUCUUAAGUCUGAUGUGAAAGCCCCCGGCUCAACCGGGGAGGGUCAUUGGAAACUGGGAAACUUGAGUGCAGAAGAGGAGAGUGGAAUUCCACGUUAGCGGUGAAAUGCGUAGAGAUGUGGAGGAACACCAGUGGCGAAGGCGACUCUCUGGUCUGUAACUGACGCUGAGGAGCGAAAGCGUGGGGAGCGAACAGGAUUAGAUACCCUGGUAGUCCACGCCGAAACGAUGAGUGCUAAGUGUUAGGGGGUUUCCGCCCCUUAGUGCUGCAGCUAACGCAUUAAGCACUCCGCCUGGGGAGUACGGUCGCAAGACUGAAACUCAAAGGAAUUGACGGGGGCCCGCACAAGGGUGGAGCAUGUGGUUUAAUUCGAAGCAACGCGAAGAACCUUACCAGGUCUUGACAUCCUUUGACAACCCUAGAGAUAGGGCUUUCCCUUCGGGGACAGAGUGACAGGUGGUGCAUGGUUGUCGUCACUCGUGUCGUGAGAUGUUGGGUUAAGUCCCGCAACGAGCGCAACCCUUGAUCUUAGUUGCCAGCAUUCAGUUGGGCACUCUAAGGUGACUGCCGGUGACAAACCGGAGGAAGGUGGGGAUGACGUCAAUCAUCAUGCCCCUUAUGACCUGGGCUACACACGUGCUACAAUGGACAGAACAAAGGGCUGCAAGACCGCAAGGUUUAGCCAAUCCCAUAAAUCUGUUCUCAGUUCGGAUCGCAGUCUGCAACUCGAUGCGUGAAGCUGGAAUCGCUAGUAAUCGCGGAUCAGCAUGCCGCGGUGAAUACGUUCCCGGGCCUUGUACACACCGCCCGUCACACCACGAGAGUUUGCAACACCCGAAGUCGGUGAGGUAACCUUUUGGAGCCAGCCGCCG